rnacentral:rRNA from 1 species
CAGUCGCCGCGGUAAUACGUAGGUCCCGAGCGUUGUCCGGAUUUAUUGGGCGUAAAGCGAGCGCAGGCGGUUAGAUAAGUCUGAAGUUAAAGGCUGUGGCUUAACCAUAGUACGCUUUGGAAACUGUUUAACUUGAGUGCAAGAGGGGAGAGUGGAAUUCCAUGUGUAGCGGUGAAAUGCGUAGAUAUAUGGAGGAACACCAGUGGCGAAGGCGACUCUCUGGUCUGUAACUGACGCUGAGGAGCGAAAGCGUGGGGAGCGAACAGGAUUAGAUACCCCUGUAGUCCCUGUCUCUUAUACA